rnacentral:misc_RNA from 1 species
GAUGAAGAACGCAGCGAAAUGCGAUAAGUAAUGUGAAUUGCAGAAUUCAGUGAAUCAUCGAAUCUUUGAACGCACAUUGCGCCCGCCAGUAUUCUGGCGGGCAUGCCUGUCCGAGUGUCAUUUCAACCCUCGAACCCCUCCGGGGGUCCGGCGUUGGGGAUCGGGAACCCCUAAGACGGGAUCCCGGCCCCGAAAUACAGUGGCGGUCUCGCCGCAGCCUCUCAUGCGCAGUAGUUUGCACAACUCGCACCGGGAGCGCGGCGCGUCCACGUCCGUAAAACACCCAACUUCUGAAAUGUUGACCUCGGAUCAGGUAGGAAUACCCGCUGAACUUAAGCAUAUCAAUAAGCGGAGGA